CCUACGGGAGGCAGCAGGGAGGAAUAUUGGUCAAUGGGCGCGAGCCGGAACCAGCCAAGUAGCGUGAAGGAUGACUGCCCAACGGGGUGUAAACUUCUUUUAUAAAGGAAUAAAGUGAGGCACGUGUGCCUUUUUGUAUGUACUUUAUGAAUAAGGAUCGGCUAACUCCGUGCCAGCAGCCGCGGUAAUCCGGAGGAUCCGAGCGUUAUCCGGAUUUAUUGGGUUUAAAGGGAGCGUAGAUGGGUUGUUAAGUCCGUUGUUAAAGUUUGCGGCUCAACCGUAAAAUUGCAAUUGAUACUGGCAGCCUUGAGUACAGUUGAGGUAGGCGGAAUUCGUGGUGUAGCGGUGAAAUGCUUAGAUAUCACGAAGAACUCCGAUUGCGAAGGCAGCCUACUAAACUGCCACUGACAUUGAUGCUCGAAAGUGUGGGUAUCAAACAGGAUUAGAUACCCGUGUAGUC
rnacentral:rRNA from 1 species